rnacentral:rRNA from 1 species
AUUGAACGCUGGCGGCAGGCCUAACACAUGCAAGUCGAGCGGAUGAAGGGAGCUUGCUCCUGGAUCCAGGGCGGGAGGGGGGAGUAAUGCCUAGGAAUCUGCCAGUUGGUGGGGGAUAAGGUCCGGAACCGGGCGCUAUUACCGAUACCGCCCUACGGGGAAAGAGGGGGGAUCUUCGGCCCUCAGGCUAUAGGAUGCGCCUAGGUCGGAUUAGCUAGUUGGUGGGGUAAAGGCCAACCAAGGCGACGAUCCGUAACUGGUCUGAGAGGAUGAUCAGUCACACUGGAACUGAGACACGGUCCAGACUCCUACGGGAGGCAGCAGUGGGGAAUAUUGGACAAUGGGCGAAAGCCUGAUCCAGCCAUGCCGCGUGUGUGAAGAAGGUCUUCGGAUUGUAAAGCACUUUAAGUUGGGAGGAAGGGCAGUAAGUUAAUACCUUGCUGUUUUGACGUUACCAACAGAAUAAGCACCGGCUAACUUCGUG